GACGAACGCUGGCGGCGUGCUUAACACAUGCAAGUCGAGCGGUAAGGCCCUUUCGGGGGUACACGAGCGGCGAACGGGUGAGUAACACGUGGGUGACCUGCCCUCAGCUCUGGGAUAAGCCUGGGAAACCGGGUCUAAUACUGGAUAUGACUCCAUGACGCAUGUUGUGGGGGUGGAAAGCCUUGUGCGGCUGAGGAUGGGCCCGCGGCCUAUCAGCUUGUUGGUGGGGUGAUGGCCUACCAAGGCGACGACGGGUAGCCGGGCCUGAGAGGGCGACCGGGCCACACUGGGACUGAGAC
rnacentral:rRNA from 1 species